rnacentral:tmRNA from 1 species
ACUUCAUAACGAACAACUAUAAACUAGCAAGUAAUUACGAUUGUAGGUUGUCUAUUUACUUUGCGAAUCUGAUAACCUAAUAAUCUUGUAGAAGGUUAAAUAACUUUAUUUGCGGACAGGGGUUCGAGUCCCCUCAGCUCCACCA